CUCGUCCCCAGGAGCGGGUCAGCAGCCAGCCACUCCAGCGGCCUCCUUCUGCUCUGGGGCUGCAGGGAGGAGGAGGGCGGUGUCCGAAGGGGGCGUGGUCGGCGUGUCUGCCACCCCGUGAAUGCACACUUACGGCCACGCGUUUGUGGGCACGCGCUGAGCAGAAACGUCCCCGUGAGCUGAGUGCCCGGGAUCCGAUUCUUCUGAGCAGCCCGGGAAACUGUCGGCUCCGUGUCCACCCCGACAGGUGGGAUCCCAGGAUCCUGGCCUAAUCCCUGGGUCCGAGCCCCAGCCCCCACCUCCUCCGGGUCCCAGCCUGUCCCCGGUGUGCUCUCAAGGAGGCCUGGAGCGGGGCGCAGGAGGGAGUCCAGCCCCCGGAGGUGGGCCUGAGCCCGGAGGCCUGUCAGCCUGCCCAGCCCCGCUGCGCGCUGUCACCUCUUACUGGGCAGAUGGCGGCUCCCCCAUCCUCACCUCCUCCUCUGGCCACCGCCAGCAGCAAGGGACCUGCGCGUCUGCAGGCCCAGGGCAACCCGUGUAUACGCCCUGUCCCUGCGGGGCCGACCCUGUGACUGUUGGCCGCCUCCCUGAGCCCGAACGUUCCAGGAACUGCUCUCCUGGCUGAGCCUGGAGCGGCAGAUGGCGCGACGCCCUGCGGAGUCUGACAGAGGCUUUGUCGGUUUAACUGACGGUCUCCAGGGAGCCAACUGCCGGCGGUGAUGCUGACCGAGUUGGCCUCUACAAGCCAGGAAGAGAUCCCUCACCAUCAACAAACCCUCCUGGACCUAGAUCUUGGACUUUGCAUCCCCAGAACUGUGAGACAUAAAUUUCUAUUGUUUAAGCCAUUCAGUAUAUGGUAUUUUGUUAUAGCAGCCCGAGCAUGCUACAAAUUCGGGAACUACAUUUUUUCCUACUAAUGCCCUGUGAUUCUCUAGGUGAGCUACCUAUCAGGCAUUGUGGAUUUCAGUAACGAAUCCAAAUAGAUCAAACGUGUUUCAAAUAAUCGGGGAGCUUCUCUUAAUAACAGUUCUCCUUUGCCAAGGCUCUGCAUUAGGGAGGUAGUAGGUACUAUCUUGCCCAAUCUUCACGAUCACCUUAUAAAGCAGCGUGUCCACUUAACAGACAAGGAAACUGAGCCUCAGAGAGGUGAAGUGAUUUGCCCAAGAUGAUCCAGCUGGGGCCAACCAAAGUCAAGAUGAGAUUCAAGACAAUUCUGCUACCUUCCUGUCUUUUGCCUGGAAACUAGAUGACAGUUGCAGAUGACUGUGACAUUGUCCCCAUGAAAACGAACCCUGGAGGAGAGAGAGGUACUCCUCACCAAACACCCUGUGCUUCAGCCUUCUCCCAAGCUCCCCACCCACAUCCCAAACAUUUCGGAUGAAUGGAACCCGCCUCUGGACAGGUACUUUUUGCCUACCACCCCCUCCACCCGCAAUAGGACUCCUCCAUCAGGCUGCCUUGGAUUAAUUACCUAAUUCCCUGCAGCCCGGGUGCCUCCCUAUUGAUUUCUACAGCACACAGGCCGGUGCAGGAUUCAGGCAUCCAGGUGGGAGGGCGUGAGAUACCAUGGAAGGCAUGGCAGGGGGCAGAGAGGGCACAUCUAUCAGAAGAGGCCCAACUCCCUGGCACGUGGACAUUUUGCCUAGUGGCGCUUUGGAGAACAACUGGGGCAGUUGAUGGAUGAGUCAGGAGGAAGGGAACGAGGAGAAGGCCCUGGAGAAGGGGAAAGCGGAAGGGAGGCCAGGUCUGUCCCCUCCCACAAUGGAAAUUCAUUUCUCCUUGAGCACUCAGACACUGGCUUCCCCGGAGGGGCCUCCCAAAUCUCUGUGGCCGCCUCUCCGUGGCGGACACUGCCUUCUUGCCUUCUCUGUAGCCCCCAGGCCUCUGUGGGUCGGCAUUGGCCGCUCUGGCUCUGCGGCUGGCGGCCCCCGGGGUGCCUCUCUUGAGAACCCAGUAAACGUUAAACCGCUCCAGGCAAGAGCCACGUCUCCUUCCCUGGGGUUGCAGCAGCUCCAGUCACAGGGUGCCUGGCACACCCAGAGACUGUCGGCUGGGAGCCAGUGCUUCUGGGGAUGCAAGGACAAGUGAAUGUGUCCUGUACAGAGCGUGCACCGGGGAGCACUCACGGUGGAAGGGCCUCGCUCGACCCCAGCUCUUUGGCUGCAACGGCUUUGCAGCUCCGAUCGGGAAUCAGAAUGCUGCUCCCUGCCGGCCGCCGGAGGGCGCUCCGAGCCAACUCACCCAGAGGCGGGAGGCGCGGGAGUCCCGGCGGCCGCCGGUGUCAGGCGUGGGCGGUCACAGUUUGCUGGGAGAGCAGAGGCAAGAAAAUCACCAAAUUGAUGGUGGCCUGUUUGCUGGAUGAACAGGGCAGGAAAAACCCCACCAGGGCGCUGGGGCCACGGUGGUGCUGAGUCCUGAGCUGUCUUGUCUGGUCCCUGCUUUACCAAUGUCUGGAAGUGUGGCCUUAAGAAAAUCAUUCUCUUCUCUGGGCCUGGUUUCCUUCUGUGAAAUGGCUGGACUCCAGUUCCAGGCUGUCGGGGGACGUGAGCUCUCAGAACCCUCCUGGGCGGUAGGUGUGCAUGCAACUCAGACCACGCACGAGGUUAGUCCCUGCUUUCUGCCUCUCUCCGGGAAUCGCAGUCACCGGCACUGUGCAAGCCUGCAGCCCUUGCUGCAGUAGGAACUGCUAAUGUCCUGGAUGCUCCCCGUAUUCUUCAUGAGAUGAUCCAGGCCCAACCAGAGGAGUGAAACAUUCAGGAGAGCCGAAGCAGUCCGGGGCAUCCUUCAGAAGUGAGCCUCAAAUGGGCACAUGCAGGAGAAAACUAUUCACACAAGUUCUUCCAAAGCACAGAGAUGAUGAUGGCUGUAAUAUAAGAUGCAUUCUUGUGCGUAACAGUAGAGUGACAUGCAAAUGCAUGCGGCACCAUUCAGGAUGGGGGCAGCCUUGGAAAGGAGACCACAAGGAGGAAGGAGAGAAGGAAUUGUUUCUGUAGCAUUCUAUUUCAGAAGAGGCAGGCAGACCUCAAGCAUCUGUAGCAAAAUGUCAACUCCGAUAAAUCUGGUUGGUUCUUAAAUUGUUCUCCAUAAUCCUGUGUUUGACCUAUUCUUUUUUUUUUUUUUUUUUUUACCUAUUCUUUUAACUGUAAAGGAAAAAAGAUUUAUAGUUAUUUUUAAGAUAACAGAGUCCACCAGACUCUCGGAACACCUCAGAACGGAACUGGCCUAAGGCAGUUCCCACCCCCCACCCCAACAGAACUUUCCAUAGCUAAAGACAUGCGGGCAUAGAGAGUCUUAGGUUUUCCAGGCCCAGGUGGGGCAGAAUGAUCCUAAGGGAGGGCAGCACACUGUAGGGGAGGUACCAGGCCCUGCUCUGAUCUAAGCAGCCCUAGAGAGACACGGAUCUAUGGGGCUUUGUCUUCCUCAUCUGCAAAAUGGGAUGAUGUUUGUCCUCUCUACUGAGUUAGGACUUGCCUUAAAUGAGGUUAUUUGUACAAAUAAUGACCUGGCUGAAAAUAAUGAUAGAAGCAGGUAAACAGUUAUUUACUUGUCAAGCUAGGAGUCCCAAGGUCUUAUUAGUAACGUUAGCAAUAACGUGGAAGAAACGAAGGGAGGCCGUACAAAGGAGUAUGGAAAGAAGGAAAUGUGAGUAGGAAAAACCUAGUGAUGAAAGCUUAAACCUCCAAGGAAAGAGCUCCUCUUUCUAGAUCCCAACUCAAGGCCUGUCUUUCAAAAUAAUGAAAAUUAUGUUCUGUGAAAAAUGAUCCCAGUGGUCAUUGUGAUAAGAAUUUAGAACAAUAUUUGUAUAUCUCACCACAGUGACUCAACGGUUAUUUCCUGUGAAAGCCACAGGGCUUCAGUUUUCAGAGUUUAAAUAAUGGGCAUAGAGAUACCCCCAAAGAGACACUUAUUAAAUGGCAAUAUAGAAUAAACUGGAAGAAAAGGAGAAAAAACAUCAAGCUGCUCACUGCCUUGUUUCCAGCUGAGACUCUGUUCCACAGACCCUGCGGGAGCGACAUGAAUUGGACAGUUUCCUGAGGCCCGGGUUAACUGGGUAGGCUGCAGACUUUCGAGGGGGAACGGUGUUGGGGGAGGAGGGCAGGAACAAGUCAAUGUGUCUUCUAGAAACCUGUCACAAAGAAAAUCCAAACCCAUCAAAUGGACACUUUGCAGGAGGAUUGUUAAUGGUAUAAAAGAGUGCUCGAAGGUUCACCCACAGAGACUUUCUGACAGCCGAUGUCAGGAUCAGCAAAAGCAAAAUGCGCAGUGGGUGGCCGUAAACUGGCCCCUCUCAGCUCUGCUCCUUAGGCCUGUCUUCUGCUCAGUGUCCCCUGUUUCUCUCCCCUUAUACCAGGCCCAAGGAUCCAGGCUUCUCCACCUCUCUCACGGCAUUCCUAAUAUAAUCAGCUUAUCUACUCCAUGCUGUUGCAGGCUUUAGGUAAUCUCCCUUUCAGAAGGACCCCCAAAUUCAAAGAGAAUGCUUGAGGAGGGCAGCACAGUGAGGUCAAGGGCAUUGCCAUCGGAUGGACCUGGAUGGGAGCCCUAAUCCCCACAUGUGGUAGUCAUUCUCCGCCACAGCCCAUGGUGAUCCUACCUUUGGUAUUCAUGUCCUUGCCAGUUCCCCCCAUAUAUUGAAUCAAGGCUGGUGCUAGGGGACCAAUAGAACAUUGUGGACAUGACAGUGUAUGAAUUUUGAAGCGAGGUCACAAAAGGCAUUGUGGCUUCUGCCUUGACCUCCUGGAUCACUCUUUCGGGGGAAGCCAGCUAUCACCUAGUGAGAACACUCAAGUUGCUCUCACCCACGUGGAGAAGAACUGAUACUUCCAGCCAAUAGCCAGUACCAAUUUGCCAACCUUGGCUGUGAAGCCUCUUUGAAGUGGGGUUUUUAGCCCUAGGAGACAUAUAACUGCAGCAUUGCGAGGGACCUUGACUUUGAGUCACCCAGCUGAGCUGCUUCUGAACUAGCUCACUGAAACUAUGAAAGAUAAUCACUGGUGGUGGUGGUGGUGAUUUUAAAUCCUACAUUUGGGGGCAAUGUGUUACAUGGCCAUAUUAACAAGAACUUCACCUUUCUAAGUAGUGGUGACAGUCAAGGCUGAUAAUCAUUUAGGAGACAACUAUACACCCCUAUUAAUUGUUAAAAUAUUGAACUAUUUCUAUGCUGCUUUGUAAAGAGUUUGUACAUGAAUUAACGAUCUUAGGUGGCGUGUUCCCCAAGGUCCUUUGCAAAGGCAAAUCAAAUCCUCUUCGGAAGAAGGGAAUAUUAUCCUUGGCCUUAAAUUGUUUCAACAAAUAUUUUACAAAUGCCACGUCCAGCACGCAACCAAAGACGACCCAAGAUAUGGUCAAAUGCAGAAUUUUCUAGCCACCCAGAAAAUAUCCUUCACCCAUAGCUUCUGUGGUGGAAAAAUUAAGCAAUAUGAUGGUGAUGGAUUGAGUGUGUGGUGGAGAGGGAGAAACCAAAGGUUGGAAGGGAUGCAAAUGGGCCUAAUGAAAGAGGGAAGAGGCUCCAGUUGCUUCCUCAAACUGGGACCCAGCUCUGAGAACAGCAUAGAGCAAACCCCUCUUCUCAGUGCUUCAGAGCAUAGCUGGACCUCAGGUGCAGUCUCCAGAGACCCCUAUAGCCCAGAUUUUCGUUUCUCUACAAACUCCCAUCUCCAAGCUUGGCUGGAGAAUGGUGAAAUUGUUUCUUGAAGGUGGCCCAAACCAUGGACCCAUGAAAGGGACUAAAGUGUUUAGAAGAUUCUUAGCUGAAUGUUCCAGACUGCAUUAGAUCCAGAGACUCCUAGAAAACAUGCCUAAAGGAAAAUGCUUCUCCAUCCAGGAAGCUAUAUCAGAUCUAGAGGAAAAAAGGUAAUUUUUUUGCAACAAACAAUGUAAAAUAAAAUUAGAACCCACUCUAGGACAUUAGCAAGAUCUGUAGCAAAUUCCUCAUUAUGCAGAUGAGGAAAAUAGGAGCCGGAAGAUUAGAAAGUGAGUCCUAGCCUGCUGACCCACACUGUGUGCAGCUCUGCCCUGGUGGGUGUUGUCACAUAUGAUUUCUACCUUACUCUCAGGCUACCAAUACCCUGAAUGUCAUAGACCACCUGGCACUUCUUUCUCAACAAGCUAAUUUUGGCCCACACAAAUGGAAAGGCUCGGUUUGACAUCAUUUGAAGUAUCCUCUUUUUUCUUUCUUGAACUAAAUUUCAACAUCCAUUGUUUUUUCCAGGCAGACAUCCACACAAAGUCUUUCUCUGGACCCUGCCAACUCCUCAUGGCAUAGCAUUUUGAGUGGUAGUAUCUAGAAUAUCUUAUUUCUCUGAGCCUUUGUUAAGAAUUUUAUAUACCUAUAUACUCCGACAAAUAGGAGCUUCUUCCUUCCUCUUUAUAACGUCAUUUUGAUUAAUGAUUCCCCAGUGGAGCAGAUGGUGUGGUCAGAAUGUGCCAAGGGCUCCCUGCCCCAUGAGGAGAUAGGCUCCUGUCCCUAGAGAUAUUUGAGCGGGAUCUCAGUGACGGUCUGCCAGUCUCUCGAGUGAAGGAAGUUGCUUCAGGUAUUGAAGGUUAUUUCCAGAAUUAAUCAUUAUACAUAAAAUAUUUUGAUUCCUCACCAUUUCUGGGGUGCAUACUCUGCCUUGCCAAUUGCCCUCCCCCCAUCCUAUCUCCAUUCAUAGUGAUUUUUUUUUAAGGUUUUUAUUUAUUCAUGAGAGACACAGAGAGAGAGAGAGGCAGAGACACAGGCAGAGGGAGAGAAGCAGGCUCCAUGCAGGGAGCCCGACGUGGGACUCGAUCCAGGGUCUCCAGGAUCAGGCCCUGGGCUGCAGGCGGUGCUAAACCGCUGAGCCACCGGGGCUGCCCCCACAGUGAUUUUCAUUCCCUUCUUCUCUGCACCUCCAUGGCAACCUCUGUCAUGGUCUGGAGGGACCCAGCUGUUAAUCCCAACUUGACCACCAAGUAGCUAUGAAACCCUGAGAAUUCACUAACUCAUGUGGACCCCGGUCUCCUUCUCUCCUCUUGCAUCAUGGAGCUGCUGUGGAAAGAGUGAUCAUGAAUAUGAAGGACAAGCCAGUAUCCAGCACAAAGUUUCUCAGUACACAGACGCAUCUGUAGCCUGGCAACCGUGUCUUGUGACCACCGAUUCACUUGUCCUCCCUCCCUCUAGCCUCCCAGAGGGUAGGGUCUGGGUCUUCUCUAUCUGUAUCCCCAGGCCCUAGCCCAGAGCCUCACAGUUAGCAGGCACUUUAUGAACUCAUUACUCAGACAUUACCGAGGCAGAGAAACGGUGCUGUGGAUACAGGGCCAGACAAGAUCUAGACUCUCAAGGAAGUUACACUGGAGCAAGUGAGAUAAAAACAGGCAAAUGCCGAGUUCUGAGAGCUGAGUUGUAUUUUUUAGCUUUCCAUGAUCUUCUAAUAUGACUGCUCCUGCUUUAGCAUAGGUCAGAAUAAUUGACCUAGAUGGGCAAAAAGUCAUCCAGCAGGGAAGCAUUUCAAUUAAGGGCUAUUUUAUUUUCCACGGGGUCUUGGAGAGCUUAGAGAGAAAAGAAGCAAUAGUAAAAUAAUAGCAAGCAGACUGCUGCAAUUAAAUUAAAUGUGAUUUACCACAACUUAAGUAUCACUUUCAGAUAGUGUCAAAUUAAAGCAUGUAAGAAGAUUGCUGAAAAAAGACUUUUUUUUUUUCUUAUCUAAGUGAAAUGCUGGCACAGGAGUCCUCAAACGGGAAACUGCCAGAUGCUGUUUUACAUGCGUGGCAUGUUGGUGCCUAACAUCUCCUUAGUGUUUUUGAAUUCUACAUUGUCUGCAAAAUUGCCACUUCAUUAAAACUGCCUCAGAAAUUCCCUUUGCAAUGAUGCAGGUCACUGUCAUGUCUGUCCUGCCUCGUUCGUGUUUUAGGAACACAGGAGUUAUUUUCAAAAAUAUCUUUAUUUAACCUCAAAUUUUCUGCACUAUCAAAAAAAAAAAAAACGGUUAGUCAAGGAAAGGGACA